CCUACGGGGGGCUGCAGUGGGGAAUUUUGGACAAUGGGCGAAAGCCUGAUCCAGCAAUGCCGCGUGUGCGAAGAAGGCCUUCGGGUUGUAAAGCACUUUUGUCCGGAACGAAAUCCCUUGGGCUAAUACCCCGGGGGGAUGACGGUACCGGAAGAAUAAGCACCGGCUAACUACGUGCCAGCAGCCGCGGUAAUACGUAGGGUGCGAGCGUUAAUCGGAAUUACUGGGCGUAAAGCGUGCGCAGGCGGUUUCGUAAGACGGAUGUGAAAUCCCCG
rnacentral:rRNA from 1 species